GGCCUUAUAGUCAAGUGGUUAAGACAUAAUGUUUUCAUCAUUACAUACGUGGGUUCAAUCCCCACUGAGGCUA
rnacentral:tRNA from 3 species